ACCAUCUCUAUUUGUAACCUUUUAUUACUUUACUGUUUUAUAUUUUAAGAGGGACUCUGACGUGGAGAAACUUGAUUAGUGCAACGUAGAAACCGCCUCUCUUUCUUAACAUCCACGAGAUAACACAAUAUAACCGUCCGAUUAUCAAUAAACCCUUGCAUAAAUACCGUUCAUAAAGUUAUUAUAAUUCACUCAAAAUCAAUUGCUCAGGGUCUGGAGAAACCUAAAUUCCAUUGGCAAGAAAUUGGGGGAAAAAAGAAACCUAGACAAGAUUUCUGAUUUCUGUUCGUUAUUAAAAUCCAUCAUGAGGUUCAUAAAAGGUAGUAAAGUUGAGAUACUUAGCAAAAAAGAAGUUCCAACAGGCGCUUGGCUUUGUGCUCAAAUAAUCCGUGGAAAUGGCCACACAUAUAGUGUGAAGUACGGCUACACUCCAAUUUCGGAGGAAGAAGUAGUGGAGAGAGUACCUAGAAAGUCAAUUAGGCCCUGCCCGCCUCCUGUGCCAGGGUCAGAUGAUUGGGUUCUUGGUGAUCUUGUUGAGGUGUUUGAUAAUCACUCUUGGAAAGCAGCAAUAGUAGUGAAAGUUAUUGGCGGUCAUAACUUUUUGGUCAGGAUACUUGGAUUGUCUAAGCGUUUGUUGGUCCAUAAAUCUUAUCUGAGGGUUCGACAGUGCUGGCAAGAUGGUAAAUGGUUUGUGAUUGGAAAGUGUAUGGAGACAUGUAUCACAAGACAGCCGAAUUUAAAGGUAAACCAACAUCUUGGAGAUCGUUACUUUCACGGAGAGUAUUAUAUUCAAAUUCAAAAGCCUUGUGUUGUUGCAACGAGAAAAUUGAAGAGAAAAUCAUUCUUUGACUUGUAUGAUCCUGAAGCACCACAGUUAGCUGCUCAAAGGAGGAGACUGAUAAAAAAUACUAGUAGUCAUCCACGAGUUUGUUCGGUGUAUCCAUCUCCAAUUUCUGAAAAGGUAGAUUCAAUUGUUUAUCCAAAUAUAAAUUUGGGUGAAAAUAGUGCGUACUCUUCUUUUAAUGUUGCAACAGCUGAGUUUUCUAGGAUGGAUGCAGGUUGUGGAACUGAUAGUUUUCAUGUAGACUCCACAAUUUCUGUGCAUAGUGAUGGUUGUAAAUCCUCUGUUGGCAGUUGUAGUACUGUAGGAUAUGAUGCUCAUGACUUGCCCUUCAGGUUUUCUCCACAACAUAGUGACAAUAUAGGGGAUUACUGUAGUGAUGCUGAAUCAUCUUCUGGAGUGGAAUAUGAGAAAGGAGGACGUUCACUUUCUUCACAUGACCAAUUGGGUGUAGAAUUUCAUAGGUCAGAGUUACAAAUGUACUAUUCUACUGUUGAGGAUUUAUAUGCUUCAGGGCCUUUGAGUUGGGAAGACGAAGCAAAAUUGACAAAUCUACGAGAUAUGCUUCAUAUCUCAGAUGAUGAACAUUUAAAGGUGCUAAGAAUUUUGAUAUCUGCAAAUAGUAUGCAUAUUGUCAGCUGACUUGGGGCUUUCUCUUUUUUCUCUUUCUUCUAUCAUUCAGCAUUUUAUUUUUUCUCAUUGGUUUCAAGAUGUUGUAAAGGAACAAAUGGCAGGAAAGAAAUGUAUAAUUUAGAUUUUAUUUGUUUAGCUGUUGAUUUAACAAGCUACCGCAUCUUUUUCCUUUUUUUUAUUUUUUACUUGCUCUUUCUUUUAAUUUCUUAUUUUAGUAGGGCAAAUAUGGUUUUGAAGUUUUAGUUUCAUGAACCAUAACAGUUUAUUGAAAUUGACAUUCCUAAUGGUAUUCUCACUUGUUCAGAUCAUUGAGUUUGUUUUCUGAGAAGCAUUUGCUUAACUAGUUAUGGAUUAGAGGUCAUGUAAACAACAGGUUUCCGUCUCCAGACUGUUUAAUUUUAGAAACCUCAACUGCUCCUGAGGAUAUUAUUGUUAAUUGUACUUAACAUCAAAGUCUUAUUCCUUGUGAAGUUCUCCUAUAUUGCCUCAUGAGCAGCACUGGGAGUUUAGGGUGAUGGGUUUGCUGAUGCUUCAACAGCUCAUAUAAUGGCUCAUAUUGGAGGCUUGCGUACCUUGUCUGUAAGGCCUCAAGCUGAUGAUUCAUUGGCUCGCAAACUGGGUGUAACUAUGGGGCAACAUCCACACUUGAUUUCCAUCAGAAACAUGUGUCUGGCUGCCGUGGCUAUUGGUAUGAUCUUUUUCAUUAUUUAUAAUUAAACCGAGCCAUUUUGCAAGUUCUGCUCUGUUAACACGACAUUAAUGAUGUGUGGGUUAAAGCAAAUUGAAAUCAUGAAUCUCAGAAGCAAGCUUUUACAUUUCUUGCUCUAAGGGAUGAGAAACGUUGAUGUUCUUGUGGUUUGCUAUUUGCACUCCCUAUUGCUCAGGGAACAUUUUAGUUCUGAUGUGAAGCUAGUUUCUUUUGAUACGAUGAACAUUUCAUGGCCACAUUAUCAGCUUCUUAAUAGAUGUUCUGAUAGACCACCUAGACAUUCCUUGGCCGAUGUCCAUGGCUUGUCCACGUUCCCACACUGUAAUUUGCAGACCAUAGAGGAACAUAUGUACAGAACUUCUUUCAGUAAUUUGGGAAGCUACUAGUGACUAUAAUUAGUAACUGAAUAUUCCAAUGAAUCUAAAAAAUAAAAAAGAAAAUUACUCCACUAGUGGCUGGGCUUGAUCAUAGAAACUACUGCCGUGUGGUCUAUUCUGAGAUCUUAUCGCUCAGUUGUGUAAAGCAGCCUCGGUUAUUUUGAUUCUGUUGUUAAGAUGACACUAGUCAUUUUUCAAGUUUGGUUUUGUUGACAAGAGAUUUGUAAAUUUCAUUCCAGAAAUCUUUGAUCAAAUAGGAAAUUUGAACUUUAUAUAUAAUGGGGUUGCAAAUAAUGUCCUGAUGCAUGCUGUUUCAUGUUACGUUGGCAUUGAUGACUAGAUGUUCCUGUGCAGUCUGCCAGUGUGGCUCUCGUUGAUUGUUAUUAUAACCACAUUUUCGUCUUGCUACGGUGAUUGGUCUAUUCUGCUUUAUUUUGUCAUCUGACCAUCUCAAUGAAAUUGUUCAAUUUAUGGUUGAUUAAGUUGACUUUGCUUUUUAUACUGCCAAGUCUCAGAUGGUCAGGGGACAAAACCAAUUGAAAAAGUGUUUCCUGAUAGAAGGGACUGAUGAAACCACUGAAAUAAUGACUUUUAUCAGGCACGCCUGACAUAGAUUCUCAUGUUUGUGAUGUCCGACUCUGUCUGAGUCUGUGAAAGUAUGGGUCGUGGGUUGGAUAGGACAUCAAUGAAUAUCAUUUUUUAAUUUCUAACGGAAUGUUGAGGCAGGAAAACACAAUUUAUACUGUAGGUUGAGAUGUUUAUCAAUUACUUGAGGAAGCUAAAAAAUGCCGACACUGCUACUAAAAAGUGCCUUCUGGUGUCGGUAUCCAUCUGAUUACUUGUGCAUAUUGAUUGUGUUUUAUUUGCAACUAGUGGCUCUAGUGCUUGUGAUCUCGUCUGCUGCACUGCACCUAUGCUUCAGUGUUAGGCUGAACAGUGAUUCAACGAGGAGAAAAGAAGCACAGUGCCUGUGCCUGUCCACCCUUUCCUCAAAUGGGCAGCUGAGUAUAAACUGGUCCCAAGAAAUUGGCAUUUGAACUGGUAGAAGUAAAGCUGAAGUUAUGAUGACAUUGCAUGUCUGGCACCUGAGUAAUAUAUCACCUAAAAGAGAGUAUUGAAGCUUCUCCUAUUAUUAGCAUGUCUCUGCACCUUUCUACUUAUUUCCUGUUAGAUUCUUUUAUUGGCAGGUAUACUGUGCAUUUUGUUAUAUAUGUAAUGUAAUUGUUGGAAACUUGAGAUUUGCAAUUUACGCACUGCUUAUUUGCAUCUUGUAUUCAGCGGCGGGACUGGCGCUCAAUAAAACCAGGUUGAUGCAAUGUUCAUGUUACGUAGCUGUGCCAAAUAGAAUUCUGCACCGCCCAUAAAUUACACCAUUAUUUAUAUUUUGACAACUGUUAAUGGUCAUUUGGUUGCUCUAUAUCUUUUGAUGUAAUCUCAUAUAUUUCAAUUUGUUUUAUAAUAUUAAAAUAUUUUUUAA